GAUGAAGAACGCAGCGAAACGCGAUAGUUAAUGUGAAUUGCAGAAUUCAGUGAAUCAUCGAGUCUUUGAACGCACAUUGCGCCCCCUGGUAUUCCGGGGGGCAUGCCUGUCCGAGCGUCAUUGCUGCCCUCAAGCACGGCUUGUGUGUUGGGCCUCCGUCCUCCUCCCGGGGGACGGGCCCGAAAGGCAGCGGCGGCACCGCGUCCGGUCCUCGAGCGUAUGGGGCUUCGUCACCCGCUCUUGUAGGCCCGGCCGGCGCUUGCCGACACAUCAAUCUUUUUUCCAGGUUGACCUCGGAUCAGGUAGGGAUACCCGCUGAACUUAAGCAUAUCAAUAAGCGGAGGA
rnacentral:misc_RNA from 1 species